rnacentral:lncRNA from 1 species
CUGAACUGUCCUCCCAACAAAAUCCUGCUCACCCUUUAAAACAUACCUCUGACAGCUCCUUCUCUGGGCAAGUCGCAUGAGCCUCUCCUCUCAAGGUGUGGCUCUGUGCUUCAUGAUUUACAUGCACCGUCAUUAAGUCCUACUACAGCUUAUUGUCUCACCAGGAAUUUAAGAGUAAUUCCCAAAUUGCUUCUGGGCCUUGACUUUCUGUCAUCUAUUCAAAUGUCAAAACCUUUUCCUGGAAGAAUGUGCUACACCUGCUGCAGCUCCAGUUAUGCCCUUGAUAAAAUCAGUCAGAAUUAUUUGCUAUACAAGAGUCAUUCAUUGAUUUGUCCAUCCUUUCUAUAAGCAUUUCCUGAACAUCUAUUAUGAGCAAGAUACCACAUUGGAUGCUAGAUAAAAAGAACAGAGAAAUAAAGUCUAUUCUUAAAGGCAGCACAGUCAAGGGAGGUAUGGACAAGUGAAUAAAGUGUGACAGUCACUGUGAUGAGGGCUAUGCUAAAGGAGAAAGGCAAUUAGUAAAUGUAGAAGAAGAAAUGGAAUUUGAAAAUCACUAUUUGGCCACCAUCAUGGUAAUAAUUGCUUGAGUCAAGAAUCAUCAGUGGAUCAUUCUAAUGGGUGGAAGUUUAACCACUAACAGGAUAUUUCAUGGUCUCAAAGCCUCUUCCCACAAGAUGUUUAUAAUAAAAAAUAAAAAGCAGAAACUUCAGAGCAAAGAAGUCUGACAGACACUGCCAAAAUCAGUCAAGCCAAUAUCAUGUGUUUCCUAAUACAAUGCACUAAGAGAGGCACAAUAUCACUUCUGCAGCAUCCUUGCCAAAAACACCUAAUGAUAGUUUUAUUAUGAUGAAACAAUGAACCACUUUCAAACUGAGGACAUUUUAUGAAAUAAUUUGUCAGAACUCUCAAAAAUUAUCAAAUAAAUGAAAUAUAAAAAGAGCUGUUAAGGACUUGGAGGACUGUUAGAUUAUAGAAAAGUAAAAAGUCUUUACAGCUAAAUGCAACAAAUAAAGAUGCAAUAUUUUUAUAAAAAACA